UACGAAGGGAGCUAGCGUUGUUCGGAAUCACUGGGCGUAAAGGGCGCGUAGGCGGCCUUCUAAGUCGAACGUGAAAUCCCCGGGCUCAACCCGGGAACUGCGUCCGAGACUGGAAGGCUUGAAUCCGGGAGAGGGAUGUGGAAUUCCAGGUGUAGCGGUGAAAUGCGUAGAUAUCUGGAGGAACAUCGGUGGCGAAGGCGGCAUCCUGGACCGGUAUUGACGCUGAGGCGCGAAAGCCAGGGGAGCAAACGGGG
rnacentral:rRNA from 1 species